CCUAUUUCAGACGAUGGUGAAAGGCAUCAGGAGUCUGUUCAGACUUGGCAGGCCAGGAGCCAGCGUUGCCCCAGCGGAGGUACCGUGGAACCUGGAUGAUGAAGAGUCCAAGGAAGAGGAUUUCCCCUACUUGCCUCCCGCCCCACCUAGCACGAUCCAUUGCAUCCCAAAACCUGCGCUAACACCAGGCGCAAGUUUCAGUGUAUAGAGCUUGUACACAAGUGCAGGGCAAAAGACCUGAAGGCAAUGGAGGAAUUUCCUGAGGCUCCUUCUCCACCACUAAAGCUGGGCACCACUGCAUCUCACUGGACAGGACAAGAGUCCUGCCAAGUAUCCAAUUCAUCACAAGCAGACUUCACAUGCCUAGACGAGACGCCAGGAUCAUCUCUCUCCUAUGAUCAUCCACAAAAUACCCAGCAUUUUGCAGGUGGCCAAGGAGACUCUGAGAUCACUGUUUUCCUGCACGGUGAGACUGCCUAGCCCGCAUCCUGCCACAUGUCCUCUGGCCAUUGAGCUUAUACCACCACUGCUGGGAGAGUCGGUCCCAGUCCCAAAUCUUCCAGGACAAGUUGAUAGUGUUGAGCUAAGCCCAC